AUGACUAUUAAGGAGCAGCACUGUCCUAAACCACGAACAAAUUUCUCUCCUAAACCCUCCUGUGUUGAACAGAUGUCCAUCAACAAUCAUUUACUAAGCACCUACUAUGUGUUAAACACCAUACUAGGUUCUGGGGAUACAAAGAUGCAAGCGAAAUGUUCUUGCCUUCAAUUAGUACAAAUGAUCCUAUUGUUCAAUAUGUUCGCUGCUCCUCAAAGAUUUUUUUCAUUUUUGAAUUUGAUGAACAUGCCAUCUAUGCCUUUAUCCAAACAAUUGAUGUUCAUUUUGAGCCAGAGAGAGAAAAGAAAGAUAUGAUUCUGAGGAAUUCCAAGGAACAGGAGAAAGGGGGGAACAACAGAGAGACUAUGUUGUUUAGCCUCAAUUUGGAGAAAAGAUAAACAGAUCAAGAUGACCCUGGAAUCAGGACUUCUUGCCAGGGCUUCUGUGAAGCCCCAGGCUGGAUCUACUCUUCCAAGAGCCAGUAAAAGGAAAUUGUCUUUAAUGCUUUUAUAUUAUUAAUAAUAAAAUAAGCGAUCAUAUUUGAUUCUCUUGGUAA
rnacentral:lncRNA from 1 species